GAUACAGCAGGGAACAGAACAAAGGUCUGGACUCAUCCUUGAGCUAGAUAUAGAUUUGGAAGUCAUCAGUGUGAUAGUAUAAAAAGAUAGAACUGGAUGAGGUCCCCAGGGAAUACCGUAGCUAGAAUAGAGCAAAAGGAGUUCAAGUGAGCACCAACUUUUAGAGACUGAGAGAAGGAAGAGGAAUCAGCAAAGAAGACUGAGAAGGUAGGAAGAGAAACAAGAGAGGCUGAGUAAAGAAAGUGAUCAGAUUCAGCUCUGACUUCAAAAAUGGAACAGGCAGAAGUCAGGCUGGAUACGUAUUAAGGAAUUAGGAAUUAGAAAUAUGAAUUCUGCCAUAAAAUAUUGAUGCAGAACAUCCCAUAUCAAUAGUUGCAAAAACUAAAAAAAAAAAAAAAAAAGAUCUCCCCUGCAAAGAGUUUUUCUCAGGAAACAAACACAAAAGAUGGAAAUCCCAGAUGCUCAGAGGGCAUGGGACGAAUUCCAUGUCACUUAUAUAUGUGUCUUUCAUGAGUGUCUUGCUGGCUGGAUCCCAGGUGAUCUUCUUUGGGAUGAAUGCCUUUAACAUGAGAAACUGGUCAUAGUACAGACAAAUUUCCACAGGCUGCGCCAGUCCUGGUUCUAAGCUCACCAGUGUAAACUUCUCCAUGGCAAGCUACAGAAGCUGGCAUCAGUAAAUAAGUAAAUUAUAUCCUUCAUUUUGAUUCCUUUACCAGUGCUCUGUUUUGUCUCCUGCCUGUUAAAUACUGUAAAGAAUAAUGUAGGGUUUAGUCGUCCACUGUCAUUAAAUUCCUAAGUUAUUCAACUUUGCCUAGAGUUGACAAAGGAAGAUGAACAAAAUUUCCGCCAUCAAUCAUGUUGUCUGAUGUGGAUGUGAAACAGAGCAGGACCCUAUGGUCCUUGCCUCCCAUGUCCUCAGCCUGCCUUUUGUCUGUGGAAAAACUUUAGCCAAAGAAUAGUUUAAUCAGAGAAGUGAGAAAAUGCAAAGAAAGGAAAACAGUCCAACAAGACUAAAUAAUGAUAGUGUAGUCAUUAAGCAUAGUCAAUGACCUUUAGAUCCUCUUCAAGGGCUAUAGAUAAUAUUCUGAGCCAUAUCCUUUUAGCUGUCUUAUAGAGACCAAAACUCCCACCAGGUGGAAGAAGUUUACGUGACAACCAGAUCGUAGCCAUGAUGUAAGCUGCCACAUUUCCAAGAACUGGUGUCAAAGAAAUGGGAAGAAACAGACCCUGGAACUGAAGAUUAACUGUACUUAAAACAAUCAAGAUGAUGCUGAUGAGACCACCGCAUGACCAAUUUCAAGAUGAUUGUCAGAGCUGACUGUGCUGUUUCUGCAUGUAGCCCCCUCCCUUAACCUAUGAAAACUCUUGCCCACUGAUUGUCGGGGUUGCGGGGGGGAGUGGGCCUUGGGACAGGAGUCUGCCCUCCUCCACCCAGGUUGCCGGCCUUGGAAAUAAAAAAAACUUUCCUUUCCA